rnacentral:rRNA from 1 species
GAUGAACGCUAGCGGCAGGCCUAAUACAUGCAAGUCGAACGGUAACAUGAGUAGCAAUACUUGAUGACGAGUGGCGCACGGGUGCGUAACGCGUAUGCAAUCUACCUUUAACCGGUGAAUAGCCCGAAGAAAUUCGGAUUAAUACACCAUAGUAUGAUGAGGAGGCAUCUCCUUAUCAUUAAAGUUCCGACAGUUAAAGAUGAGCAUGCGUGACAUUAGCUAGUUGGUAAGGUAACGGCUUACCAAGGAAACGAUGUCUAGGGGGUCUGAGAUGAUUAAACCCCACACAGGUACUGUGACAGGGACCAGACUCCUACGGGUGGCAGCUGUAAGGAAUAUUGGACAAUGUUGGCAACACUGAUCCAGCCAUGCCGCGUGAAGGAUGAAGGCCCUAUGGGUUGUAAACUUCUUUUGUACGAGAAAAAACCUUCUUACGUGUAAGAAGCUGAUUGUACUGUAAGAAUAAGGAUCGGCUAACUCCGUGCCAGCCGCCGCAGUAAGAC